UGCUUUUGUGUAAUGGCUCUUAAGAUGUUGUAGGCAACACAUACUGGGACUACUCAAAUGCUACAUCAUUUCAAGAUGGCAGGUGAAUGCAAGGAUUCUAACUGGUCAAUUUUAUAGAGUUUUCGGGAGACGUUAGAAGAGCUAACUGCCUUUCCAAAGGGAGUAUUUGCCUUUGGGUACAGCUGGUGGCGUAAUACUGACGCCAGAUGUAGAAUUACCUGCCGGAGAGCUGUUACGGGAAACAAGGUCCUUGUUACAGACAAGGGUGAUAUAGGACCGCCAGGGCCUUCGGGAGCAACUAUGUGGCCUCCGGAUCCGAAUCUCUCAUUCCAAGAGGGGUUGUCCGGGAACAGCCACUCAGUUUGGGAACAGUUUGUGAAAGUCAGAGCUAGCCAGGCUAUGUUCUCAAGAACUCGAUUCCGCUGCUGAUAAAAUCCACAGAUCAUCCGCCGAUGUUGGAGGCUCCAGACAGCCUCGCCGGUUCAGGUCACCAAGGUGGACUGGGAAACAGGGACCUCGAACAGGCCCUUGGCCUGACACUGCGGUGUAGCAAGGCUGCAAGGUCAUGGCAACUUUUUGUCUUCCUGCCUCCAGUUGUGCAUAGGCCUGGGCUAUAGCGGAGAUGGAGAGUUCUGGAGUUUCAUGGUGGGAUAGGGAAGGAACCUGUAGGUAUGGAACUCAUGCCUUCUCAGACUUAGGGGCAAGUCAGACUCAGGGAUACAGGAUCAGUCCACACCCAAAGACACAGAUGCUACAGGUCAGACUCAGGGAUACAGGAUCAGUCCACACCCAGGGACACAGAUGCUACAGGUCAGACUCAGGGAUACAGGGUCUGUCCAUAUGCAGAGACAUGGAUGUUACCAUUCAGAUUCAGGGACGCAGGCUCUAUUCACAUCCACAGACACGGAUGUCUGCAGUUUGGACUGCAGCCUGGGCAUGGGAUUAUCAAUAAGCUGCCCUGAGAAUUCAACAUGCAACAGGGAUUGAGACCCUUUGGCUCAACCCAAAGUACAUCCUGAGGGCUCGUUGGAUGGGAGUUGAUGCCUUCAUUUUAAAUGCCAACAACUGCUCCCCGACUCUCAUCUACAUCCUAAAUACCACCUACUAUUCCCCAAAUCUCCUCUACAAACUCCAAAAUCAAAACUCUCCUCUUAUUCCAAAAACAAGUGAGAAGGUUCUUGGGAACAAUCGAGUUUAGUGUGUGUGUGUGUGUGUGUGUGUGUGUGUGUGUGUUGUUUGUUUUGCUUUCCUGAAAUCUAAGAGGAGAUUUUUUGUUUUGUUUUGUUUUAGAGCCAUGAAUGCAACCACACAAUGCCCAAAAGAACGGGAAAGAAAGUCCUUCCCACUUAUACAGAAACUGUUGUAGAGGACCAUGGGGGACCUAGUGCUAUAGGGAGUCUCCUUGAGGAAUACUAUUCUGAUCUAAGAGACAAAUUGUACACAGGUGGGUGCACAACCUUAUCACAUGUAACACUCCUGACAGAUCACUUUUCCCACCCACCACACAGCACAGUGACUUUCAGUGAUGAACGUGAUGCACCCUAACCAAUGGCUACUUUUUGUUCAUUGAUUUUUUCCCCCCUUUAGUUUGAAACUAAAGAUUUUCUUCAAAUGGGCGACUCUCAUUCUAAAAAUAUCAUACAAACUCCAUAAAGUAUUUCAUGAAGGAACUAAAAAUGUACACUUACCAAACACAAAUCUCAUACCUCACAAUUCAUGCUGCUUUGUGCCUGGGAGUUGUAAGCAAAGGCUCCCAAGCUGUCGCGGAUAAUAACGGAUUUGAAUGAACUGAAGUUCUGUGUUUUGUCUUUGUAAUCCCUGUGAUUGCUGUUUAUUCCAAUUCCGUUAUUUAGGAGUGUGUCAUACCAUGGAGCCGAAGACAGAGCUCAAAGGUCCUUCCCUGGCUCCAAACCUUCACAGGCAUUCUAGUAACACAUGUGUGUAGCGUGUUGCUGCAUCUGUGUGCAUGAGCAUGAGUUUUAGAAAUAUAUUUCCAUGUGAAAUAUGUUUAUUUUAAAUAACAGAAAUGUGCUAAUUUGAAGCACAUGGACUUACUAAUAUAUUUAUUUGUUAAGAUGCAUUCCUUCAAACAGAGACCCAGUGAUUUGAGGGCUAGGAGCAUCUCUUCGAAGUACGGAGGGUGCGUGGUGCUAACAGAAAGCAGACUGAUGUUAGUCAGUUUUAUUAUUGUUUGACAUUCUCUGUGGACAACACGCCCUCCUCGCUCCUUACCCCUGGAGCAGACCACUCAAUCUUCAUACAACCGUCUCAUAUCGUCAGGACCCCAACACCGAACAACGGAAGUUGGAGCUAACACCCAGGUUUCCUGACUCCCAGAUCAGUACCAUUCUGUGCAUAACAUGCCAUGAAUAAUGCAUUUUUCACAAGAGGGCCCAGGAGCGUGAGGACAAACUUCUAAAGCGGCCCAUCAUGAAUAAUCGCAGAGCAGAGCGGUUGGCAGGAAGGACGCAGCCCAAGCGUGAGCCCAUUUGGUGCUGUGUGUGCUGAGCUUCAGUUCCCUUCCGUCCAAAGGUCUGGGUGACAUGUGCCCCUUCAGAAGAUAGAGGUGACUUUAGUUAUAAUAAGGAGAAAAUUGUUAUUUUGCUUUAUUAACAAGUAGCUUGUAUCAUAUUGAGAAAUUUAUCGCCAGCAUUCAGCUUGAAUACUGUGUUCAUUACGUUUUCUAAUCUGUGUGAUUACUACCUGUGUAAUUUGUUGUCUGCAUCUGCUAUCGGAAUUCUUCCAGCCCAUUAUAUUUCCCAUCUUAUUUUUUUUAUUUUUUGUAAUAGAGGAUAAGAUUGGGACACAGAAAAUUGCAGCAGAUUGCCUAAGGCAAACUGCAACCAGUCAGUAGCUGGAUGGAGCAGAGAAGACGCCCGUUAUGUGGGGAAUGUGAAGAGGAUGGUUUUCCGGCCUGGGCGCUGCUGUGACAACCCAGGCAAAUGGAGUUGCACCGGUUUCCUACAUGGGUACUGGAUAUCCCCGAAUUACCUGCAAGAAUUCAGCUUGCCAUCACCCAGAAGUUGUUGAGAUAGAAUUUGUGAAGGGAUAAUGGGACAGUGUGCUGUUAGCAAACCUGCCUGAGGCUCCCCAGGGGGAGGAGCACGGGGUGGGGGACUGGGACAAAAGCCAGCAAACUGGGAGAAAUCCAACGUUAGAAAACUAAACAGUAAGUUCAUACAUGUAAAUCACAGUUCAUACAUGUAAAUCACAGAAUAACAGCACCAAAUAUGGUGGGAACUCUCCUUUUUUUCUCUCCAUUCUAACUAUAGGCUACCAUUUCAUCUGACAGAUUAAAGCCAGAGAGCAUGUGAGGCACAGUGAAGUGA